rnacentral:rRNA from 1 species
AGUGAACGCUGGCGGUAGGCCUAACACAUGCAAGUCGAACGGCAGCACAGUAAGAGCUUGCUCUUACGGGUGGCGAGUGGCGGACGGGUGAGGAAUACAUCGGAAUCUACUUUUUCGUGGGGGAUAACGUAGGGAAACUUACGCUAAUACCGCAUACGACCUACGGGUGAAAGCAGGGGAUCUUCUGACCUUGCGCGAUUGAAUGAGCCGAUGUCGGAUUAGCUAGUUGGCGGGGUAAAGGCCCACCAAGGCGACGAUCCGUAGCUGGUCUGAGAGGAUGAUCAGCCACACUGGAACUGAGACACGGUCCAGACUCCUACGGGAGGCAGCAGUGGGGAAUAUUGGACAAUGGGCGCAAGUCUGAUCCAGCCAUACCGCGUGGGUGAAGAAGGCCUUCGGGUUGUAAAGACCUUUUGUUGGGAAAGAAAAGCAGCAGGUUAAUACCCCGCUGUUCUGACGGUACCCAAAGAAUAAGCACCGGCUAACUUCGUG